rnacentral:lncRNA from 1 species
UCAAAACUUAAUUCCUCACAAUUAUCUGCAAUGGUAAUCCAUAAAAUACCUAAAUUGCUGCAUUCGUCCAAACAAUAUCACCCAAAAAAUUAGAACGAAUAAAUCCUUAAGAAGUACGAUACAUCAUCACGGAAGUCACCCAAGCAAAAUUAAAUUUACUUUAAAUUUGGAUCCAUGGACAUUUCUUCAUAAGUCUUUGAAGCUUUGCUCAGAACGUCGUCCUUCAGUUCGUUUCCGGAGCACUAGCUACGGCAUCUGCACCUCUCUCCUACAAGUUUUGAACAAGUAAUGUCUUAUAUCUGAACAAACAUAAAUUCUUUCCGAACAAAGAUUAUUAUUUACUGAAUAAAUAGUAUUCGAAAUUUAUACCCUUUUCGAUCUACAAACUAGUUUCCAUGUCUAUCGCUAACUCACCAACAAAAAAGCACUAUUUUGGGACCCUAGAACUUAAUCCAAUUCAGCAUAACAUAAAAACAACAAAAAGUCCAAUGAUUUUUCAAUCAAGAAGCGGUCACCGUUUAACAUGAGUAAACCUACAACCAAAAGCUUGAAAGCAAAUGAAUCAAUAAUAGAAUAUCAGAAGAAGGAUAGAUGCUUACCAUUUGUUGAAAAGCCAAGUCAAAGGGUCUUUUCGGAGCAGAAUUUGACAAAAUUUUGAUUGGUUUCUUGGAAAAGCCCAUAAUUCUAUUAUUUGGGGAAGUACCUAUGUUUCUUGUUAUUUUUUCCCUCAGCAAUCUCUCUCAUUGUAGAAUUAAAGCAAAAAUAAGAAAUUGAAGCAAUAACUUCGAAUUCCAGAAUCAAUUCUCAGUUCUAAUAAAAGUGCCCAUUGUUCGCUUCUAAGCGCAUCAAUCACCCAAAAACAUCAAAAUAAGACAAAAAAAAAAACCCCAAAAUCUUACCAAAUUCACAUAAACCCCUAAUAGAUUCCAAAUCCAGAGGCGAAGAGAAUAGAACCAAAAAAAAUGCUAAAAAUGGCGCACCAACAACACACGCAAGAGAAUUAUACGAACAAAAAAUAAUCUGGUGAAAAUCGUUGUGUUUAUUCGAACAUAUAAAAACAGAUCGGCUCAUAUUUAGUUAGAAUAAAAAUAUUUCAUGCUCAUUCCAAUGUUUUUAUUGUCGAAUAAUACAAUAUUAGGCUAUAGAUUUUUUGGAAAACAGUAAAAACCUCAAAAAUUACAGUUCUGUUUUAAAGGGAUCUAUAAAUGAUAUUGGAGUGAUUUUUACUUUCGAAUGAACAAUGUAAUGUUGAAAUUUGAAUGAUUCGAACUUACCUUUCGAACGAAACACCGAUGAUUCUGCAAAAACCCCGAUGUUUUUCUACCUUCUUCGAUAAUCUGCAGAAGUUGUGCGGCAACGUAAUCGUUGUGUUUAUUCGAAAUUCCAAAGCCCUAGUAUCUAUGAAAAUUUUCGAACAGAAAGUGCUAAAAACCUUACGUUCUUCAACCUUCUUCGAUAAUCUGGUGAUUUCGUGUGACAGCGAAAUGGAUGUUGCUAUUCGGUAUCCCAAAACCCUAGUUUCCACAAUAUUUUUCGAAGAGAAGGUGGAGGAGUGAUUUUCGGAAAUAAUUGAAACUUACCGAUUU